UACGGAGGAUCCAAGCGUUAUCCGGAUUUAUUGGGUUUAAAGGGUGCGUAGGCGGCCUAUUAAGUCAGGGGUGAAAGACGGUAGCUUAACUAUCGCAGUGCCUUUGAUACUGAUGGGCUUGAAUGGACUAGAGGUAGGCGGAAUGUGACAAGUAGCGGUGAAAUGCAUGGAUAUGUCACAGAACACCAAUUGCGAAGGCAGCUUACUAUGGUUUAAUUGACGCUGAGGCGCGAAAGCGUGGGGAUCAAACAGG
rnacentral:rRNA from 1 species